AGAGUUUGAUCCUGGCUCAGAACGAACGCUGGCGGCAGCCUAACACAUGCAAGUCGAGCGCCCAGCAAUGGGAGCGGCGGACGGGUGAGUAACACGUGGGAAUGUACCUUUCGGUACGGAACAACGCAGGGAAACUUGCGCUAAUACCGUAUACGCCCUUACGGGGAAAGAUUUAUCGCCGAGAGAUCAGCCCGCGUUGGAUUAGCUAGUUGGUGAGGUAACGGCCCACCAAGGCUACGAUCCAUAGCUGGUUUGAGAGAACGAUCAGCCACACUGGGACUGAGACACGGCCCAGACUCCUACGGGAGGCAGCAGUGGGGAAUCUUGGACAAUGGGGGAAACCCUGAUCCAGCCAUGCCGCGUGAAUGAUGAAGGCCUUCGGGUUGUAAAGUUCUUUCGCACGCGACGAUAAUGACGGUAGCGUGAGAAGAAGCUCCGGCUAACUUCGUGCCAGCAGCCGCGGUAAUACGAAGGGGGCUAGCGUUGUUCGGAAUUACUGGGCGUAAAGCGCGCGCAGGCGGCUAAACAAGUCAGAGGUGAAAGCCCGGAGCUUAACUCCGGAAUUGCCCCUGAGACUGUUUGGCUUCGAGUACGGGAGAGGUGAGUGGAAUUCCGAGUGUAGAGGUGAAAUUCGUAGAUAUUCGGAAGAACACCGGUGGCGAAGGCGGCUCACUGGCCCGUUACUGACGCUCAGGCGCGACAGCGUGGGAUCAAACAGGAUUAGAUACCCUUGUAGUCC
rnacentral:rRNA from 1 species